GCAAUUCCGGCAUUUCCCGCCCGAAUCGUCGGCGAAAGAAAAUAUAAGCACGGCACGGACCCGUGAAAUCCCACUGGCCGCCCACCGUCCUCUCCCUCCCUCGCUGCUGCAAGUUCCUUCCUUUUGCGCGACGACUUCCUCGCUCGAAGGGCCUUCCCUCGCCUUCCGCCAUGACUCAUAUCCUUCGAUCUCUCCGUCUCUUUUGUGGGUUUUUCUUCUUUUUUUUGUUUUUGUGGGUACUUCGACGUGCGUUGAUUUGCUCGCAGCGUUCCGUUUCGAUGAUGCCCCCCCGGUCUUUGCUUCGAGAUUUUUUUUUUUUUUUUUGGUCAGACUUUGUUUCGAGAUUCGAUCGUGCCUUUUUGAAUGUUUUGCUCGCUUGCUCGCUUGAAUUUCGAAGAAGGGUCGCGAAAGGAUUCGUGGGUUCCUCUUGCUUUUCCUUGAUUCCUCUCCUUUGAUCUUGAUGUUGAUGUGCACGCGGCAAUCAGAGAGAUCGCGACAGGGAGAGAGCCCAGGCGCGGGGUACCAAGAAGGGGAGCACCAAGGACGACGGCUUGACUGUCGAGCAGCGCCGCGAAAGGUCGGUCCUUUCGAUCUCCAUUAGGGUUUAAGCGAUGGUGAUUUUUGGAGGGUUGUUUGUUUUUUUUUUGGUCCUUUGAUUAAUGAUUUGGUAGCUCCUGUUUUUUCCUUACCGAUGAUGUUCCGAUGUGGGUUUGGUGGUGAAUUUAAUCGGGGGGUUUUGUUUGAUCGGAUCGAUUUAGGGAUGCGAAGGCCUUGCAGGAGAAGUUGGCAAAGAAGGCGGGCCAGGGGGGAGCCAGCGGGGAUGCCGGAGGUAGUAGCAGCGGCAAAAAAUGAAGGGCGUCGGUCCAAUUGGGUUGAUUUCUCCUUUUCCUCCUGAGGGUGUCUUUUGUUCAGUAUUUCUGGGUGGACAUAGUUUCCAUAUGAAGAACAAGACGUGAGUUUGACUGGGUUUGUUGGUUAUGUUUCCGAUUAUACAAUGUCGAGAAGUUUCGUGGUUGUUAAGAAUCUAAUCCAUCAUUGUCAUGUAUUUGUAUCGGUGAUCAUCUAUUAUCAGUGUCAAUGACUGGUAGUCUUUAUGGAAUGUCCUUCUACAACUCGAGCAUUUUAUGAAGCUAUUAGUAAACACUGCGAGAGUUUGCUGCAUGAUUGACAACGCAGGUGAGUAUGUGAUGAUGUCGAGUGCCUGCGGAAAUAGAAUGAAUUGAUUAGAAUC
rnacentral:lncRNA from 1 species